rnacentral:misc_RNA from 1 species
AAGGAUCAUUCACAAUGAGUGUUUUAUGGCACUCUUUAAAAAUCCAUAUCCACCUUGUGUGCAAUGUUUGUUGGGAGAGAGGCAACUCUUUCCCUUCACAAAUAUCAACCUAUAUCUUUAACAACAUUCGUCUGAUAACAUAUUAUGAAUAUACUUAAUUCAAAAUAUAACUUUCAACAACGGAUCUCUUGGCUCUC